rnacentral:rRNA from 1 species
GAUGAACGCUGACAGAAUGCUUAACACAUGCAAGUCAACUUGAACUUCGGUUUGGGUGGCGGACGGGUGAGUAACGCGUAAAGAACUUGCCUCACAGAUAGGGACAACAUUUGGAAACGAAUGCUAAUACCUGAUAUUAUGAUUAUAUGGCAUCGUAUAAUUAUGAAAGCUAUAUGCGCUGUGAGAGAGCUUUGCGUCCCAUUAGCUAGUUGGAGAGGUAACGGCUCACCAAGGCGAUGAUGGGUAGCCGGCCUGAGAGGGUGAUCGGCCACAAGGGGACUGAGACACGGCCCUUACGCCUACGGGAGGCAGCAGUGGGGAAUAUUGGACAAUGGACCAAGAGUCUGAUCCAGCAAUUCUGUGUGCACGAUGAGGUUUUUCGGAAUGUAAAGUGCUUUCAGUUGGGAAGAAAAAAAUGACGGUACCAACAGAAGAAGUGACGGCUAAAUACGUG